rnacentral:rRNA from 1 species
GAGUUUGAUCCUGGCUCAGGAUGAACGCUAGCGGCAGGCUUAACACAUGCAAGUCGAACGGUAACAUUGGUGCUUGCACCAGAUGACGAGUGGCGGACGGGUGCGUAACGCGUAUGCAACUUGCCUUUAACAAAGGGAUAGCUCAGAGAAAUUUGAAUUAAUACCUUAUAAUAUCUAUGAUUCGCAUGUUUUAUAGAUUAAAGAAUUUCGGUUAAAGAUGGGCAUGCGUGAUAUUAGCUAGUUGGUAAGGUAAUGGCUUACCAAGGCAACGAUAUCUAGGGGGUCUGAGAGGAUGAUCCCCCACACUGGUACUGAGACACGGACCAGACUCCUACGGGAGGCAGCAGUGAGGAAUAUUGGACAAUGGGCGAAAGCCUGAUCCAGCCAUGCCGCGUGUAGGAUGAAUGCCCUAUGGGUUGUAAACUACUUUUAUAUAGGAAGAAACCUCUUUAUUUAUAGAGAGCUGACGGUACUAUACGAAUAAGCAUCGGCUAACUCCGUGCCAGCAGCCGCGGUAAUACGGAGGAUGCAAGCGUUAUCCGGAUUUAUUGGGUUUAAAGGGUUCGUAGGCGGGAAAAUAAGUCAGUGGUGAAAGCCUGCAGCUCAACUGCAGAACUGCCAUUGGUACUGUUUUUCUUGAAUAUAUAUGAAGUGGGCGGAAUGCGUCAUGUAGCGGUGAAU